CUGCUCACUGUCAACACCACUGGGACACCUUCUCUACUAUUCCUUUGCGGCAAUUUCUCACGGAGUAACAUCUGCUUGGGAGACCACUUUGGAAGGAACAACAUCUAAAGUUGAAAAUAGCGUCAUGCAUCCUUGGGUAGCCAUCCUGGGCUUCCUACUCCUUCUGAUAGAUGGUGUAACGUCUUACCUACAUGUGAUUGGAGUGGAGGGUCAGUCUGUCAGGCUACCCUGCUCCUAUAAAGGAAAAGUCACAUCCACGUGCUGGGGCCGAGGGGAAUGUUCUUGGUUAGACUGCAAAAAUACCAUUAUCAGUAC